GUGCCAGCCGCCGCGGUAAGACGGAGGGUGCAAACGUUGUUCGGAAUCACUGGGCGUAAAGGGCGCGUAGGCGGAUCUGUAAGUCGGGAGUGAAAACUCGGGGCUCAACCCCGAGCCUGCUUCCGAAACUGCAAGUCUUGAGGACUGGAGAGGAAAGUGGAAUUCCCGGUGUAGCGGUGGAAUGCGUAGAUAUCGGGAGGAACAUCAGUGGCGAAGGCGACUUUCUGGACAGUUCCUGACGCUGAGGCGCGAAAGCUAGGGGAGCAAACAGGAUUAGAUACCCGCGUAGUCC
rnacentral:rRNA from 1 species